rnacentral:misc_RNA from 1 species
CCGAGAGAGCGGGUGUUCCCCGCCGGCGCCCGCCCCCCGUCCUCGGGGGAUGGUCUCGCCGGCGUUGGGGCCCCCUUUCCCCAGACCGUGUCUACCUAACCUCAGUUGCCUCGGCGGGCCUGCAGCGCCCGCCGACGGACCUACCAAGUUAAAAUGCUCAAAAGCCGUUCAUGUUCCGUCUGAGUGGGAUUGAUUAAUUAACGUA